GGUGAGGUGGGUGAGUGGCUGAAACCAACGGUUUGCUAAACCGUCGUACCUCGAAAGGGGUACCGAGGGUUCGAAUCCCUCCCUCACCG
rnacentral:tRNA from 1 species